AAAGCUAUAGAGCUGAUCCUUCUGCAUGCCCAUUCAACAGUUACAGCAUGCUAGAACUGAUCAAAAAAGAGCAAAAGAAAAGAACAACAACGCCAAAGUCAUACCUGGGGGAUGUUUUAAAAACAGCAACCAAUGAAAAGAGAUCACCCUUUUCAUGAACAACGAUACCACAUAUGUCAUUCUUUGAGUCAUGAUGCAGCUGAAAAUUAAAAAAAAAAAAAUCUGAAUCUGGAAAAAAACAACUAAGAACACAAGUAUUCCCUGAAUUGCACCGGAAUCCUUUUGUGUUCAACAAAUUCAUAGUUAAAUACAAAUCUUAGUGCAUAUUUCACAUUUUUGUAAGCUUGUAAUACAAACAAAGGUGUUCUUUUCAAAGCUGCCUCAUCACAGAUUAUAACAUGAUUAUUACAAUUAUCACAACUCUUGUGAUAUUUGGCCCUUUGAGAAAAAAACAAAAAUUAAAGUACCAUGAAGUUACCAAAAGUAAGUUCUGGAAAAUGGAGAUACACCUCGCCAUUUCACAGAGUGUUUGAUCUGCAAUUGGCUGCUCAUUUGGCCUGGUUCUCAAACUCUGCUUUUAAUGGAGAGUCCCCUUCCCUCCAUUUCUGCCCUAUCCCACUGACCCCACCGCCUUCUGCAUCUGUCAGAGAACAACCAGCAGCACAGAUCCACCAGACCACUGAACUACUGUCCUCUCCGCCUGUCCGGUGCAGUACCAGUGCUUAGAGCCACCUCAGAGUGGAAGUCUUACUGUUGCAAAAACAGCUUAUCGUUGCUUAUUGUAGCUUAUUAUAGCUUAUUGUAGCUUAAAGUAAUGCAAGCUUUAUGCACAGUGCUACAGUACUAUGCACACGUCUUAGGCCAGUCGGGAAAUUGUUUAAAACUUUAUCUGGGCAGGAAGUCUGCUUUUGGCUUGAAAAGCACUACAUAGCAUCUUUUGAUAAUUUAGUUGGAAAUAGUUCAAAAGAGCAUGCGUAGAUACAUUGGAAGUGUUUUUCUAAGCAAAUAACUGCUUACUACCCAUAUAUUGCUUUAAACAUAAUUUUCUCAAGUUACUCAAGACUUGAUUUGCGCAGUCUUAUCUUUAUAGAAUAUCCAGUGGAGCAAGGAAUUAGCGAGACCUUUAAUAAUCACUUCCUUCGGCUAGUCCUUUCAGACAUCUGUGUGAAUCUGUGUGAAUCAGAGGCUGAUAAUAUAGAUUAGACUAGAUUUUAAGCUGAACCUUCUCAGCACCCCUCCCUGCUUGGUGGUUGUGAGCGGUUGUGCCUGGUUGUUGUCGCUUUCAGUCCCUCCUCUCUUACUCAUGGACUGGUUGCCUUGAGCUUCUCUUGCCUUUCUUCCCUUUCCUCACCUCCUUCUUGACCCCUCCCCCACCUGCAGCACUGUGCAGCACCCUUCCUUCCUUCCUCCCUUCCUUCCCUCCUUUUUCCCUCCCUUCUUCCUUCCUUCCUGUCCCGUCCAUCUCACCCUGUCCACUUCAGCCUGCUCGGCCCUGUGCUGUCCAGGCCAGCGCAGCGCUGCGGGGCCAACCUGCUGGAGCCACGCCUCACCUCUCUUUUGCUUGUCCAGGAUCUGCUCAAAGGACUGAAAAGAAAGAGAAACUCACACACACAGCAGUGUGGGUGUGAGAGAAUGAUAUUUGCUAAGCUUCUGUGUAUUUUUCAUCUUUUUACACCAAAGCCUCUGGCUCAGAGGUACUCAAAUCUGGACCUCCAAUCUUCCAAUCCAAUCAAUAUCCCAACCAUUACGAGUAAUAGACUAAUCUGACUGGAUACUGGGAAGGUGGAAAGUCUGCAAGAGGACCGUGAAUUGAGUAUCUCUGCUCUAGGUCCCGUAUCUUUGACAGACGUGCAGAUAUGUUUGGAUGGAAGGCAUUUUUGAGGAUGUUGGCUAGAUGGAAAUUUGUGAUUUGCUUGAGUCAAAACAGAAGCUUAGGAAAUUGACCAGUCAGCCUGCUGGCAGGAAGUGGUUUGGUUUAUUCACAGCAUGGCACUCUUAGGACAUAGCACGGUGUUUCCUGUUAGAAGUGGUGGAACUGGGAGACUGGACCCACUAGAGCAGAGAGAUUGAUCCCGUUUAUCAUCGCUGUGGCUCAAAAUUUGCCCAUGCCACUGGGCAAGACUUGUGUCCUCUAGAGAAUGGUCAAAUAACCCAAAAAUGAAAGACAGUAUUUUUAUUUUAUUUUAUUUUAUUGGGCAUAGUUGCUACUUGUUUCUUCUGCUGUUAGCACACAAGUAUUUAUUUUAGAUCCCUAUUGCGACGCAUACAGCUCUGAAUAAAAAUAAGAGAGCACUUAAAAAUGGAGUUUCUUUGAUUUUACCAAAUUGAAAACCUCUGGAAUAUAAUGAAGAGGAAAAUGAAUGAUCACAAGCCAUUAAACCAAGCUGAACUGCUUAAUUUUUUUGCACCAGGAGUAAAGGCAUAAAGUUAUCAAAAAGCGGUGUGUAAGCCUGUGAAGGAGAACAUGCCAAGAUGCAUAAAAACUGUGAUUAAAAACCAGGGUUAUUCCACAAAAUAUGGAUUUCUGAACUCUUAAAACUUAAUGAAUAUGAACUUGUUUUCUUUGCAUUAUUUGAGGUCUAAAAGCUCUGCAUCUUUUUUGUUAUUUCAGCCAUUUCUCAUUUUCUGCAAAUAAAUGCGCUAAAUUACAAUUUUUGUAUUUGGGAUUUGGGAGAAAUGUUGUUUGUAGUUUAUAGAAUAAAACAAUAAUCUUAAUUUUACUCAAAUAUAUACCUAUAAAUAGCAAAAUCCGAGAAACUGAUUCAGAAACUAAAGUGAUCUCUUAAUUUUCUCCAGAGCUGUAUACUUAAAUACACUUUUGUAGGCCAACUCAAUCAGUUGAUUUAUUUAAAUGUUUAUUUUUCGUAUAUCCUCGUUUUACUUGGUCAGGGUAGAAUGUCAUUUUUGGGUGAAGUGUGCAAUGUUAUGUAUCUGAAGCUCUGUUAAACUGAGAUUUUCUUGCACGUAAUUAAAUUAGGUGUGCAGCCCAAUUUAAUAUUACAUAUUAACAGACAGAAAAAGAAGACUUAUCUAUAAAUGAAUUAUAUCUAUGCAAUACAUAUAUAUAUGAUUUAUAGUAGUCAUUGUCUGUUCAUCAACUGAAAUGCCAUUUUGUUUUAACUGAACAACAACAAAAAAAUAAGAGUUAAAAAUGAAUAAAUGACUUGAUAAGGAGACAGCAGCCCAGAGAGGUGAGUCAUUUAGCACAGUUUUAGUUCAUUUUCAUCCUAAAACCUUGAUCCUAAAUUUGAUCAUUUAAAGGAAUCCAGACUGGUUAUCUGGUGAGUGGAAGUUACUGUGGUAAUUUUAAGAUUCUUUGCACUUUCUUAGUGGAUUCCUCUCAUUCCUCAUCUCCUUACAUUCCCAAUGGAACUAUCCACACUUUUCUAAUGGGUAUGGGUAUCGAAUGACACGUUAAAUAAUUCUGCUUUUUGCAAAGACGUAAAUCUCUCUGUGCUGGUGCCUCUCCUGAUCCAUUUAUUUAUUGAUUUUAACGGUUCUUGAGUUUGCACUAAAAAUGCCAUGUAACACGCAUGUCCUGUUCAAUUGCCAAUGCACAUUAUGCACUUUUGAAAGCCAUUUUCCCUCACUUUUAUAUCCAUGUGUUGAUUUCCACAAAUAAUGGUAAUGUCUCUGUGACAUUUAAAUGUGUUAUCUACCAGUAGCCAACAGUGAUUCUCCUGACACAUACCUUAUUUUUUGGGUGCCUCUUUCAUCCCAUACAAAAACGAAAAUACUAUGAUUUCCAUGAUUUCCAAUUUGCUAGAAUACUGUCUAAGGGCUACAUUUUAUAUUAGCUACUAGUGUUGUAGUCAAGACCGCUAAAGCCGAGUCAAGACCAAGACUUUUAGUUUAAGAUUAUUAAGAUUAAGAGUAUCUUCUCGAUUUAUCAAAAUAAUGCAUAAUAUUUGUCUUUUCUAAAACUUAAUAACAACUCACCACUUCUGUCAGAAGUCAACUGAAUCCAAUUUUUAUCAUUAUUUUUAUUAUAAAAUUUGAAAAAAACAAAAAAUCACAAUUUCCCCUUAAACAGCUCAUCACUAAGGUUGGCUAGCUCAUAACUAGCUUUAUUCUUUCCUGGUAACAUUAGUAUUUAAGCUAGCUCAUCACUAAGGUUAGCUAGCUCAUAACUAGCUUUAUUCUUUCCCUGGUAACAUUAGUAUUUAAGCUAGCUCAUCACUAAGGUUAGCUAGUUCAUCGCUAAGGUUAGCUAGCUCAUAACUAGCUUUAUUCUUUCCAUGGUAACAUUAGUAUUUAAGCUAGCUCAUCACUAAGGUUAGCUAGCUCAUCACUAGUUUUAUUCUCUCCCUGGUAACAUUAAUAUUUAAGCUAGCUCAUCACUAAGGUUAGCUAGCUCAUCACUAGUUUUAUUCUCUCCCUGGUAACAUUAGUAUUUAAGCUAGCUCAUCGCUAAGGUUACCUACCUCGUCACUAAUUUAACUAGCUUGUCACUAAGGUUAGCUAGCUCAUUGCUAAGGUUAGCUAGUUCAUUGUUAGCUUUAGUUCUCACCCCGGUAACAUUAGUAUUUUAGCUAGCUCAUCACUAAGGUUAGCUAGCUUGUCACUUGCUUUAGUACUCUCCCAGGUAACAUUAGUAUUUUAGCUAGCUUGUUGCUAAGGUUAGCUAGCUCAUCACUCGCUUUAUUCUCUCCCUGGUAACAUUAGUAUUUAAGCUAGCUCAUCACUAAGGUUAGCUAGCUCAUCACUAGUUUUAUUCUCUCCCUGGUAACAUUAGUAUUUAAGCUAGCUCAUCUCUAAAGUUACCUACCUCGUCACUAAUUUAACUAGCUUGCUGCUAAGGUUAGCUAGCUUAUUGCUAAGGUUAGCUAGUUCAUCGCUAGCUUUAGUUCUCACCCCGGUAACAUUAGUAUUUUAGCUAGCACAUUACUAAGGUUAGCUAGUUAAUCGCUAGCUUUAGUUCUCACCCCGGUAACAUUAGUAUUUUAGCUCAUCACUAAGGUUAGCUAGUUCAUCACUAAGGUUAGCUACCUUGUCGCUAAGGUUAGCUAGCUCAUCACUAGCUUUAUUCUCUCCCUGGUAACAUUAGUAAUUAAGGUAGCUCAUGAGCUAAGAUUAGCUAUCUUGUCACUAAUUUAACUAGCUCAUUGCUAAGGUUAGCUAGUUCAUCUCUAUCUUUAGUUCUCACCCCGGUAACAUUAGUAUUUUAGCUCAUCACUAAGGUUAGCUAGCUUGUCACUUGCUUUAGUACUCUCCCAGGUAACAUUAGUAUUUUAGCUAGCUUGUCACUAAGGUUAGCUAGCUUGUCGCUGAGGUUAGCUAGCUUGUCACUUGCUUUAGUUCUCUCACUGGUAACAUUAGUAUUUUAGCUAGCUCGUCACUAAAGUUAGCUAGCUCGUUGCUAAGGUUAGCUUGCUUGUUGCUUGUUUUAGUACUCUCCCAGGUAACAUUAGUAUUUUAGCUAGCUUGUCACUAAGGUUAGCUAUCUUGUCGCUGAGUUAGUUAGCUCGUCGCUAGCUUUAGUUCUCUCCCAGUAACAUUAGUAUGUUAGCUAGCUUGUUGCUAAGGUUAUCUAGCUCGUCGCUAAGGUCAGUGCUUUCCCUGUUAACAUAAGUAUGUUAGUUAGUUUGCUGCUAACAUUAGUUGUCUUGUUAGUUUGUAGUAAUCUCUCCUUUUUUUCUAAAUGUCUGGAAAAAAAGUAUUGUGGUCCCUGAGGUCUCUGUUUUCGUGUCCUGCAUACAAAUUCACGUUGAUUCACAAUGAUUCACAUAAACAAAGAGUAUAACUCCAGCGAUACGGUGUGAAAAAGAGCACAUUUAACUUAACAUCGGACUAUUUAAAAUGAAAAGUGCAUUUAUUGGAUACUGAACAAAAGCGUGAGUAGCUUGUUUUUCGCUGUUAGUUAAUCUGUUUGCAGAUUUUAGACACAGAAAAAGGACUGAUUCGAUCUGUUUGAAUGAAUUGCUGAUGUUCAGUAACGAUAGUAAAAAGGUUCAGUUUUUGAUGAAUCAGUCUCUGAGUCCACCUCACCACGAGACAGAGACAAGACCCAUUCCAAACAAGGUCGAGUUCAAGACGAGACAGAGACCACUCGAGAACUACAACACUGUUAGCUACAUUCUUUAAUCAUUUCUGCCCUUAUUUUCAUUUAUUUCACCCAAAUAAUUACAGGAAACCUCCUUUAAAUUU